CCACUAUGCUUAGCCUUAAACAUUGAUUAUUUAUUACAUCAAACAUCCGCCCGGGUAUUACGAACAUUAGUUUAAAACCCAAAGGACUUGGCGGUGCUUAACAUCCACCUAGAGGAGCCUGUUCUAGAACCGAUAACCCCCGUUCAACCUCACCCUCCCUAGCUUUUUCCGCCUAUAUACCGCCGUCGUCAGCUUACCCUGUGAAGGACUAAUAGUAAGCGCAAUUGGUACAACCCAAAACGUCAGGCCGAGGUGUAGUGCAUGAGAGGGGAAGAAAUGGGCUACAUUCGCUGCUUAUCAGCGAAUAACGAAUGAUGCAUUGAAAUUAUGCAGCUGAAGGAGGAUUUAGCAGUAAGUGAAAAGUAGAGUGUUCCACUGAAACCGGCUCUUAAGCGCGCACACACCGCCCGUCACCCUCCCCAAGCUCCUGGACCCUAAUCCUACUUAAACCCUAACAAAUGCGAAGGAGAGGAAAGUCGUAACAUGGUAAGUGUACUGAAA
rnacentral:rRNA from 1 species